AACGAACGCUGGCGGCAGACUUAACACAUGCAAGUCGAACGCCCCGCAAGGGGAGUGGCAGACGGGUGAGUAACGCGUGGGAAUCUACCCAGAACUUCGGAACGACUGAGGGAAACUUCAGCUAAUACCGGAUACGCCCUACGGGGGAAAGAUUUACCGGUUUUGGAUGAGCCCGCGUUGGAUUAGCUAGUUGGUGAGGUAAUGGCUCACCAAGGGGACGAUCCAUAGCUGGUCUGAGAGGAUGAUCAGCCACACUGGGACUGAGACACGGCCCAGACUCCUACGGGAGGAAGCAGUGGGGAGUAUUGGACAAUGGGCGAAAGCCUGAUCCAGCCAUGCCGCGUGAGUGAUGAAGGCCUUAGGGUUGGAAAGCUCUUUCAGUGGGGAAGAUAAUGACGGUACCCACAGAAGAAGCCCCGGCUAACUUCGUGCCAGCCGCCGCGGUAA
rnacentral:rRNA from 1 species